UUUCGUGAAGAAGUCCUCGUGUGGAGAAUGGCUUCAAAGUGUUUGAUCUACAAAAUAUGCAUGUUUUUGGACAAAGUGAACUUCGAACUUAAGAAAUAAUGNAGAGGAAGUCUCUGAGUAUUGUAUUUUGGAAAGAAAUAUAUGGAAUUUAUACUCUACUGUUAAAUUUUAUGGGAAAGAAGACAGUUAGUCCGAAACAAAAUGGCGGAAAUUUUCAUUGCUCGGAAACAUAAAUGUGGUGAUAUUUUGAGAUCUACGCAAGAAAUCGUCACCAAAGGAGGAAGAUUUGUAAAGAGAAGUCGGAGGUUUUUGGAAUUGUAUACAUCAAGCUUGUCGGAUCAGUGGAACUUCAUAUCUUUUGCUUUGAACACCGAGUGUGAUGAACAUAUGGAACCUGGAACGACCUGUGUUGAACUUGUGAUGCGCCAAACAAGCCGGCCAUUGUGGCCAGUUUGAAGACAAAAGGCCCAAAGAAAGAAGUUUGAAAGUUAAUUGCAAUUUGCCACAGUAGUUUUCGAGUGAAUUUUUUAUGACUUUUAAGCCCCGUUUACACUUGUGAUUUUUGCAGAGCGAAUUUCGCGACGAUCGUCGCGCGAACAACGCCUGAGUUUCCAUCGCCGCAACAAUCGCAGGGCUAUUUACACGUACGAUUUUAAUUACGCAAUAGCAAAGUGGCGGUUAUCGCGCCGCAAAAACUGCAAGUGUAAACGGGACUUUAGAGAUACAUUUUGUAGUGUACGUCUGAUGCCAACUGAAANCACAGCUGUUCCAUUUUCCACAGGAUAUCAAGUGGGAAUAUGCUUGACGCAUAUAACUGAUUGAGAUACGUACAAAUAAAAAAAAUAAAGUGAGA
rnacentral:lncRNA from 1 species